rnacentral:rRNA from 1 species
GGGCAAGUUUGGUGCCCGCCGCCGCGGUAAUUCCAGCUUCCAUAGGGUAUUUUAAAGUUGUUGCAGUUAAAAAGCUCGUAGUUGAAUUUCGGGAUCAUCAGGUUGGUCGUGCCACUGGUAUGUACUGGCCUUGAUGGUUCCUCCUUCUUGGAAAACCGUAAUGCCAUUAAUUUGGUGUGGCGGGAAAACAGGACUGUUCCUUUAAAAAAAUUAAAGUGUUUAAA